rnacentral:tRNA from 1 species
GGGAAGGUAGCUCAGUGGUAGAGUGCUUGCCUUGCAUCCAUGAGGCCCUGGGUUCGAUUUCUCAGCACCA